rnacentral:tRNA from 1 species
UCCCUGGUAGUCCACGAGUUAAAACUCUGCACUCCCAACGCAGGGGGCCCGGGUUCAAACCCUGGUCAGGGAA